rnacentral:misc_RNA from 1 species
GAUGAAGAACGUAGCGAAAUGCGAUAAGUAAUGUGAAUUGCAGAAUUCAGUGAAUCAUCGAUUCUUUGAACGCACAUUGCGCCCGUCAGUAUUCUGGCGGGCAUGCCUGUUCGAGCGUCAUUACGCCCCUCAAGUCCCCUGUGGACUUGGUGUUGGGGAUCGGCGAGGCUGGUUUUCCAGCACAGCCGUCCCUUAAAUUAAUUGGCGGUCUCGCCGUGGCCCUCCUCUGCGCAGUAGUAAAACACUCGCAACAGGAGCCCGGCGCGGUCCACUGCCGUAAAACCCCCCAACUUUUUAUAGUUGACCUCGAAUCAGGUAGGACUACCCGCUGAACUUAAGCAUAUCAAUAAGCGGAGGA